rnacentral:rRNA from 1 species
GACAAACGCUGGCGGCGUGCCUAAAACAUGCAAGUCGUACGGUCCUUCGGGACAGUGGCGGACGGCUGAGUAACACGUAGGUAACCUACCCUCGAGUGGGGAAUAACCCCGGGAAACCGGAGCUAAUACCGCAUACGACCGCCGGUCCAUGGAUCGGUGAGGCAAGUCGCAAGGCGCUCGAGGAUGGACCUGCGUCCGAUUAGCUAGUUGGUGAGGUAACGGCCCACCAAGGCAUCGAUCGGUAGCUGGUCUGAGAGGAUGAUCAGCCAGACUGGGACUGUGACACGGCCCAGACUCCUACGGGAGGCAGCAGUUAGGAAUCUUGGGCAAUGGGCGAAAGCCUGACCCAGCAACGCCGCGUGGGUGAUGAAGGCCUUCGGGUCGUAAAGCCCUUUUACACGGGAAGAUAAUGACGGUACCGUGUGAAUAAGCCCCGGCUAACUACGUGCCAGCAGCCGCAGUAAUAC